CCCUCCCCCUCCCCCCAGCUGUGUAGAGGUUGGAAGAGCUGCUCCCAGCUGUCCAUAGAUGACGCUAUUUCCCCGGGCUCUGGGUCGCUUUCCUUGGUUCCAGCCCGCAGCUAACGAAGGGAAAGGGAUGGGAGAGCAGCGAGCUCCUGGGAAGCCAAGAGAUCUUGCCCCCGGAAGCCAAUGUAUAGUGGCCUUCUCCUUGGCCUUUUUGACCAAGCUGUGUCAAGAGACAGUGAGCCCGACGGAGGUUUGGGGUAGCAGGCCAGGGAGGCCCUUCUCUCCUCCCCACACAAGGCCAUCAGCUUUUUAAAGUGACCUGCUGUUGGAGACCGAAGGUCCUCUUUCAACCAAGGCCAGGAGGGCCGCUGCCUCUGGGUACCAGGGUUAGCCAGGCUUACAUCUUCCUCGCCAUCCUGGACCUCACCGUCAAGGGCUUUCCAAGGAAUUAGUCAUUCAUCCCAGUCCCCUGAUAACUCAUGAGGUUCAAGGAGUCCAGGGCCGGGUCCUCUCCAUUCUUGGGUUGAGACUACAGACCCCCAGAGGACAGAUCCCUCCCACCCGCCACCCAUCUCCAGUCAUUCCACUCCAAGAGAGCAGCAACCGUUGUGAUAUAAACCGUUGGUGAAGGAAGAAAAGAAGCAGGGAGGGGAGAAGAAAAGGAGGAGGAAGCAAGGACUCAGAGCAAGAAGGAAACAGAAGGGAGGAGGAAGGCAGAGAGAGAAGGAAAGAUGGAGGGAAGAAAAAGGAAGGCAGGAGGAAGGGAGGGAGAAAAGAGGCAGGGAAGGUUUCAGAGGACCAGGUCCUUGGAGCUCCCAGGAGCUCACCGGGGUCCGGGAUGCCAGGCGCUCACAGUGGUUUGGCACGGGGCUCCUGUUGGUUUCAUGUAUGGUAGCUAGCUUUCUCUUGAACGUAAUUUGAAUAAUUCAGUAAAAGCCCACUAGCAGCUGUACUUCUGCAGCCUCUUCCAUUCUUUUCAGCAUUAUAAUUUUGGUUAAUUUUCAAUUUUAGGUCCUACGUCUCUGCAAUUUGUGUAUGAAUAACAGAAUAAUUUCCCUCUUUUGUUUCGCCUUUCCUGUUCCUGAAUCUAAAUAAAGAUGGCUUUUUAGUAUUAAAAGUGGGGGGAAAUUACAGGUAAUUAUCUUUGACGGUAAAAACGCUGUAAUCAGCGGGCUACAUGAAAAAUUACUCUAAUUAUGGCUGCAUUUAAGAGAAUGGAAAAAAACCUUCUUGUGGAUAAAACCCUUAAAUUGUCCCCAAUGUCUGCCUCAAAUUGGAUGGCACUGCAGCUGGAGGCUUUGUUCCGCCGUGAUCCUGGGGAGCGCAGAGCCCAAAGUUUCACAGUGGGAAGGGGGGAAAAGAAAAGAAAACAGUUUUCCUAAUGGAACAAUGCGAACGGUAGAAAAUGACGAGACUGAUCGGUUUUAAACCAUUCUGAAGCCUGACUGCGCGGGGAAGUUCCGCAACAAAAAGGGAGCGGGUCUCUGGGUCCAGAUCUCACUCCCCAGAGUGAACAUUUGUACAAGAACACGGGAGAGCACAGCAGUCAGGAAGAAUCUGGUCUCUUGCUGAAUCCGUUUGGACUAAUGAUAUGCCCACGGCACCAUUUCUACAGCAUCUCGAUGGGCUUCCUUUCCCAGUGACAGGAGAGGAGAUGGAUGAGGAACUGAUCUGGAGAAGUCUGUCCUUUACACUCUGUGCUGAAUUACGUCCCCUUGGAUGCUGCCGAGGUAUCCACUGAGCUGCAGGCUGGGCGACCCUCUUCCAGGGAAGCAAACUACAGAGAGUUAGCCUUGGGGUCUUCACUGACUUCCCCCUUUCUGUUUUUCUUUGGGUAGUUCCUCCCAUCUUAUGUUUCAGGGAUCAAAACAGCAACACUGACCACACACCUACCCUGAGCAUCUCAGCUUACUCUAGGGUUUAUUGAGCUUGAUGCUAGGGGGAAGCUACUCCCAAGGUUGGGGGAAAUUCUGGGACAAUAAGUGGGAGCUACAGACACGCUGGGCUCCAGAGACACUCAGAGGAACCAAACUGAUCUGUGCAUAGGGUUCCAGCAUUGCUUGCUUUGCUUGGAACAGUCAGGAUAAUGGUUUCUGUUUCCAUUUACUUUGAUUUAAUUGAGCAGCUGUAUUCUGCAUUUAACAAAUGCCAAAAAGAACAUUUCCACAUAUGAAAUAAAAAAGAAAAAAAAAGGACCAUGUGUGGAAACACAAAUCAUUUUUAUGUACAGGAAGCUUAUAAAAAGAAUAUAAUAAAUCCAACAUCUUACUUUUAAAGUUGUCCCAUUGGUUUGUGUUUCCUUUUCGUCUUUUCAAAAAUAUUUCAUUGAACUUACUCUCUUUCUUCUUGCUAUUCUUGUUCUUCUUCUCAAACAAGAACAAUUACUACUACUACUACUAUUACCAUUACUAUUAUUACUACUAUUUCUUCUUUUUCCUUCUCAUGUUCCUCCCUCUUUGUUGUUGAAACUCUAUCAUUAAUCAACCUUUCACUCCUCCCCAAUUUCUUCCCCCAAUAAGCAAAACAAGGACAACAAGAACCAAUCCUUUAUUAUUAUUAUUAAAGUUUUUUUAUUUACAAAA